rnacentral:misc_RNA from 1 species
GGCGAGUAUAACAUUGAUUUUUGUUCCAGUUGUUUAGUUAAUGCAAAAAUAUAAUACUUAUUGUGGCUGAUUGGUUUUAGAACUUGUCAAAUAUGGUGAUUAAGUGCCAUUGAAAAGCUAUUACCAGUUGCUGACGAUAUCCUGACCCUCACCCGCCCAAAAAGGUCAAAGGGAUAUGCAUAAGAAUAAUGACUGCUCUCACAAUGCUAUUAUUUUAAGAACAAAAUUAUAAAUUGUUUCAUUAACUUCCUCUUUGAGGAGGUUUUGGUCCUAUGGCUGAAUUUAUUAUGUUGUUUGAGAACACGUUUAAAC